GUCACGUUCACGACGUUGCGUUCCUGGCGACCCUUCUUCAUCGGGGCUUUGGGCCAGGCAGGGGCGCCACCCGGCANAGGCCAUUGGGGAAGGGACGGGGGUGUGAUCCGUGUCUCUUUUUGCGGCUGCGCGGCGCUUCGCAGGGGUCACGCGUGCCGGGGGGGAGCCAACUGCUCGGGCUCCGAAGGGCUCUCUGGGGCUUUCGCUGAGAAAACCCAAGGCGGCCGUCCCCACCACGGAGGUGCCGCCGCCCGCCGUCUGACUGGCCUUGCUUGCCGCCUUCCCUGCAGAGUUGUGAGGCUGUCAGAGCGGCUCAGACUGGCACAACAAGAGAGGAGAGUGGGAAAGGGAAGGGAAGGAAAAAAGACAAGGAUUGGGAUCCAUGUGAGGCAGAGCCCAGAGACUACUUGGGAGACAGAAGUAGGCAGAGCCAGAUAGACAUGGACACCUUGAUGUCAGAUCUGCAGAGCUUGAGAACCUCCUCGCACCCCUUGGCGUCCGCACUCUUCCAGUCCCUGGCAACCUCCAUCCAGAUUUCUGCCCAACUGCUGAGGGAGAAUCAGGAGCUGAGGAGCAGCCAGCAGGCCAGGGAGGGAGCUGAGAAUGGCCAGCGUAAUAAGCAAGAGUGGUGGAGACCAUUUCGGACCCCGCAAGGGGGGACCACAGCCAAUUGCAGCAGCGGCGGCAGCAGCCACGUCCAGCCAGGUUGCGUCCCACCUGCUUUUCCUCCACAGCCUGUGGUGGUCCAUCCCUCAGUCACCAAGGCCAGCCUUCUCGGAACAGGUGGGCAAUAAGCGUGGGAAUCGAGAGGCUCCCAAUUUCUCCUCCUCCUGCCCCCCCAAGGCAUUCCAUCUCCACUGGGCUGUUCUAGAGUUUGUCUGAGGGGAGGAGUGGAAGGGCUUUUGUCUGCGUUUAUCGCCCGCCUUGCCUGCCAGGAGCUCCCCCUGUUCUGACGCAUUCCCAUUCUGUUCCUUCGUGCUCCUUUGGGCCGCACAGCAGGGUGGGAGACUGCUAGGCUGCCUCAGGGCCCUCAGCAGACUUUGUGCCACCGGGGGUGUGUGUGUGUUCCAUCAGGCUUCGGCUUUAGCAAACUUUGGGUGCCAAAGCCCAGGUGGCCCACGCAGAAGAAGGGAGAGGGAAUCAAAGGAAAGCACCCCCGGCUCCUCCUGCGUGCGCAGCUGUGGCAUGGUCUGCAGAGAGCAANGGGGUCUCACCCUGGGACAAGAUUUACCCCCCCUUACAGGAUGCAGAACCCCAGGAGGUGCUUUUUAAAUUCUGGGAGAGCUCGGUCACGGUGAACGCCGUCCACGGAGCAGGCCCCGGGUGGGGCGCCAGAGUGGGUUUGCCAUGCCGUUGGUGCCACCCGAUGUCGCACCUGCCCCCUCAGUGCUGGCGUGUUGCAUGCGGACGGCUGCAGGGCGCCUGCUUGCCUUCAGCCACACAGGUGCAGCCAGAGCUGUGGCUCACGGUGGUUCAGGGGGCUGAACCUGCAUGUGCUCCAGGGCAGAGCAUGGGGCUGCUGAGGCACGGGGCCAGUGAGGUGCUCAGGGGCAUUACAUACCCUCCUCACCUCUCCAUGCGUCCAGAACGAGUCCUUGUGAACCCUGGGCCGAGGAGUUUGCAGGGAGCAGAGGCUCCCUCGCACCCCAAAGCCCCCCACUCCUCCGCCUGUUCCUCCUGCCGCUGCUGUUAGCAAGGGGGGGGGUGGCUGCAGCUCCCCAAAGGAAGCUGGACAGUGGGGGUUGGGAACCUGGAGGCCACCAAGGCCAGCCCUGGACUCCCAGCUCUUGACCU
ensembl:lncRNA